rnacentral:rRNA from 1 species
ACGUAGGUCACGAACGUUAUUCGGAAUCACUGGGCUUAAAGGGCGCGUAGGCGGUUUGAUAAGUUACGGUUGAAAUCCGGCGGCUCACCCGUCGAACUGGCCGUGAUACUGUCGAACUGGAGGUGCGGAGGGAUGCGUGGAACUUGUGGUGGAGCGGUGAAAUGCGUAGAUAUCAGAAGGAACGUCGGCGGCGAAAGCGACUCUCUAGACCGUAACUGACGCUGAGUGUGCGAAAGCUAGGGGAGCAAACGG